rnacentral:rRNA from 1 species
ACGAACGCUGGCGGCGUGCUUAACACAUGCAAGUCGAACGGUAAGGCCCUUCGGGGUACACGAGUGGCGAACGGGUGAGUAACACGUGGGUGAUCCGCCCUGCACUUCGGGAUAAGCCUGGGAAACUGGGUCUAAUACCGGAUAGGACCAUGGACUUCACGGUUUGUGGUGGAAAGCUUUGCGGUGUGGGAUGGGCCCGCGGCCUAUCAGCUUGUUGGUGGGGUAAUGGCCUACCAAGGCGACGACGGGUAGCCGGCCUGAGAGGGUGUCCGGCCACACUGGGACUGAGAUACGGCCCAGACUCCUACGGGAGGCAGCAGUGGGGAAUAUUGCACAAUGGGCGCAAGCCUGAUGCAGCGACGCCGCGUGAGGGAUGACGGCCUUCGGGUUGUAAACCUCUUUCAAUAGGGACGAAGCGCAAGUGACGGUACCUAUAGAAGAAGCACCGGCCAACUACGUG